AAUUAUAUAACAACUUCCAACACUCCUUCAAAAUCCCAAAUAUCAAUCUAUUUUACUUGUUUCGUUUUCAACCGAAAAACCUAGAAAUGCUAGAACAAAAAAGAGAUUCGGCAAAAAUCGA
rnacentral:sRNA from 1 species